rnacentral:rRNA from 1 species
UAACGCGUAUGCAACCUGUCCGUUACAGGGGGAUAGCCCAUGGAAACGUGGAUUAACACUCCAUAAUAUAAUAUAGAGGCAUCUUUGUAUUAUUAAAUAUUCAUAGGUAACGGUUGGGCAUGCGUCCUAUUAGAUAGUUGGGGGGGUAACGGCCCACCAAGKCGAUGAUAGGUAGGGGUUCUGAGAGGAAGGUCCCCCACACUGGUACUGAGACACGGACCAGACUCCUACGGGAGGCAGCAGUGAGGAAUAUUGGUCAAUGGGCGAGAGCCUGAACCAGCCAAGUCGCGUGAGGGAUGACUGCCCUAUGGGUUGUAAACCUCUUUUGUAUGGGGGGAAUAAGCUUUACGAGUAGAGUGAUGACAGUACCAUACGAAUAAGCAUCGGCUAACUCCGUGCCAGCAGCCGCGGUAAUACGGAGGAUGCGAGCGUUAUCCGGAUUUAUUGGGUUUAAAGGGUGCGUAGGCGGCAUUAUAAGUUAGUGGUAAAAUAUUGGGGCUUCACCUCACUACGCCAUUAAUACUGUAGAGCUAGAGAACAGACGAGGUAGGCGGAAUAAGUUAAGUAGCGGUGAAAUGCAUAGAUAUAACUUAGAACACCGAUAGCGAAGGCAGCUUACCAGACUGAGUCUGACGCUGAUGCACGAGAGCAUGGGUAGCGAACAGGAUUAGAUACCCUGGUAGUCCAUGCCGU